AAUUGUUUAACAAUUUCAGUCAGGUGUGUUGGAGCAGGGACACUUUAAAAACCUGCACGACUGCUGCCCUCAUAGGACCAAACUGUGUAGUCCUGGUCUACAUGAACCAGAUCAGUCCAGAACCAAAUACAUGUGAUCACUGCAGAUUCUAGUCUAGGUAGAUCUGGACUUUCUCUGAUGUCAUGCAGACCAGGAAACAAGUUCACCACAGAGCAGCUGCAGUUUCUAGACCAAAAGAAUCCAGCUGUUCUGGUUCAGUUCCACCUCUGGCUGACAGGACUCACCUGCUCUCUCCUGAUCCAACAGCUGAUUAACUCAGAUGGAGACUUCAUGUUUACAUGUUACUGAUGACAGAGCUUAAACUGACCAUCACACAUCAUAAAUGAGCAGAGAGAAAACAUCAGAGCUGCAGGUGUUCUGUAACAUGAUGAUCCAUGUUUCAGCUCCUGGAUGUGGUCUGAGAGGACGAGUCAGCAGCUGCUUAUUGGUCUGAUUCAUUUAUUAAAUGUAGGAACCAGGAUGAAGCUUGAACACACGGAUCAUAAUAAAGUGUCAUAAUUACAUGAACACAUGCUGGUUUCUGGCUGUGGUCGUUAAAU